GCUCAAGACAGUGUGCAAGCUGACUCUUAAUCAGGGUGUCCAGGGUUCGAACCCCUGGAGGCGCA
rnacentral:tRNA from 1 species